UACGGAGGGGGCUAGCGUUGUUCGGAAUUACUGGGCGUAAAGCGCACGUAGGCGGCUUUGUAGUUAGAGGUGAAAGCCCGGGGCUCAACUCCGGAACUGCCUUUAAGACUGCAUCGCUAGAAUUGUGGAGAGGUGAGUGGAAUUCCGAGUGUAGAGGUGAAAUUCGUAGAUAUUCGGAAGAACACCAGUGGCGAAGGCGACUCACUGGACACAUAUUGACGCUGAGGUGCGAAAGCGUGGGGAGCAAACAGG
rnacentral:rRNA from 1 species